GGAAACGGCAUUGGGUGCUUGCACCGAAUGGACGUCGACCGGCGCACGGGUGAGUAACGCGUAUCCAACCUUCCCGUUACUGCGGGAUAACCUGCCGAAAGGCAGACUAAUACCGCAUGUUCUUCGAUGACGGCAUCAGAUUCGAAGCAAAGAUCCGUCGGUAACGGAGGGGGAUGCGUCUGAUUAGCUUGUUGGCGGGGCGACGGCCCACCAAGGCGACGAUCAGUAGGGGUUCUGAGAGGAAGGUCCCCCACAUUGGAACUGAGACACGGUCCAAACUCCUACGGGAGGCAGCAGUGAGGAAUAUUGGUCAAUGGGCGGAAGCCUGAGACCCAGCCAAGUAGCGUGCAGGAUGACGGCCCUACGGGUUGUAAACUGCUUUUAAUGCCGGGGGAUAAAGUGAGGGACGCGUCCCUUUUUGCAGGUACCGCAUGAAUAAGGACCGGCUAAUUCCGUGCCAGCAGCCGCGGUAAUACGGAAGGUCCGGGCGUUAUCCGGAUUUAUUGGGUUUAAAGGGAGCGUAGGCCGGGGAUUAAGUGUGUUGUGAAUGUAGGCGCCCACGUUGACUUGCAGCGCAUAUGGUUCCUUGAGUACGCGCACGCGCGGAAUUCGUCGUGUAGCG
rnacentral:rRNA from 1 species